ACCGUGUGUGCUGCUGACACAAUACUAGUGGGUACACGCUCCCCCAACCGCACUGACGCACCUGUCGCUUGCCGCGCACACAGGUGUCGUGCCUGGCUGCUUGUAUGUUGCAGGAGAUAGAGGAGAGGAGCACGCGAUUUUGCUAAAUCCAAAUAGUGGCGGGAAGAUCAUCUUCAAGAUGAGGACUGCGUUGCUUUGUUUUGCUUUGGGGGUGAUGCUGCGAAGAACUGAGGCGAAGGAUUGUGCGUGUACUGGGAAGUCCAUGUGUCACUGUGAAGGAGUCAAAGGCAACAAGGUAACCAGAACACCAGCACACAGCUUUGAGACUGUAUUGAUUUAGAAUCAAUCAAUUUAAUACUACAUUAUUUAUGCCUCAUGAUCACUGUUAUUUCUCUCCAUGAUCUACACACACUCACGCACGCACGCACACACACACACACACACACACACACACACACACACACACACACACACACACACACACACACACACACACACACACACACACACACACACACACACACACACACACACACACACAGGGAGAAAGGGGUUGUGCAGGAGAGACGGGUCCACCUGGGUCGGUUGGGCAUCCAGGCUCAGAGGGUCACCUUGGACCUGUGGGGCCAAAGGGAGAUGUGGGCCCUCGUGGACCUCCAGGAACAGAUGGCGAUCGGGUAACUUUCCACAAAUAUCUUUGCUGAUAUGUAAAUGGUAUAAGUGUGUGAGUGUGUGUCUGUGUGUGUGUGUGUGUGUGUUUUCUGUAUAUUUAGUAAAUCUACAGUCCUGUUUAUUUCUUCAGGGACCUGAAGGCAAAGAAGGAUUUUCUGCGACACCAGGUCUACCGGUAAGAGUGUGUGUGUGUGUGUGUGUGUGUGUGUGUGUGUGUGUGUGUGUGUGUGUGUGUGUGUGUGUGUGUGUGUGUGUGUGUGUGUGUGUGUGUGUGUGUGUGUGUCUUUGUCAGUGUAAUAUUUACCUGACUUUUCCCCUAGGGCAUCCCAGGCCUUCAAGGACCAAUGGGCCAACCAGGUUCCCCAGGAUGCAAUGGGACAGAGGGUGAGAGAGGUGCUACUGGUCCAGCUGGUCCCUGUGAUGGUGAUGAUGGAUUAAGAGUAAGAUGGAUGGUUACACAACUUUUUAUUUUAUUUGUGUGUUUAACUACUGUCUGUCAUAAUAUGCUUUUUUUUGUCAUGUACAUAUUUGUCUUUCUUCUUUUUUUUUAGGGUUUACCUGGAGCACCUGGACCAAAGGUAAUCUCUGUGGCUCUUCUUCCUUCUCUUCUUCAUCAUCAUCAUCAUCAUUGUCAUUAUAAUUAUCAGCAGAAUUAACAUUUUGUGUGCAUGUGUGUGUGUGUAUGUGUGUGCAGGGUGAAUCCCAAAUGUUAAUUGGGUUUGGACAGUCAGGGAGACCUGGACCCCGAGGAAGGGACGGUGACCAGGUAACUCACAGCAACCCAUAAUAUAGCAUCACUCUGUUCCUCUGUCUAUCUUCUCCUCAAGCUUCAGUUCCGUCCUCCACUUCCUCUAUACUUCCUCUAUAUUCUAUACUUCUAUCCUCUAUAUUGUAGGGGGCCGUCUUUCGGAUGGGACAUUAAACGGGUGUCCUGACUCUCUGAGGUCAUUAAAGAUCCCAUGACACUUAUCGUAAGAGUAGGGGUGUUAACCCCGGUGUCCUGGCUAAAUUCCCAAUCUGGCCCUCAAACCAUCAUGGUCACCUAAUAAUCCCCAGUUUACAAUUGGCUCAUUCAUCCCCCUCCUCUCCCCUGUAACUAUUCCCCAGGUCGUUGCUGCAAAUGAGAACGUGUUCUCAGUCAACUUACCUGUCUUCCUGCAUGUGUAGAGAUCAGAGAGGUUUUGAUGGGUGUAUAUGUGUAGCAGAAACUCACUCCUCAGCCCGCCCUGAAGUGUUGCCCCUUAUGCCAUUGAAGAAGGUCUUAAUUGGUGGCGCGUUAGGUUGAAAUACUCCAUGAAGGUGGUCACGUGUUUGCGAGGCAGAUGUCCCGAGUUUGAGCCAGGUAUGAGCCCGAUCGGAGGGAAUCAGAGGUAUUCACUAAGCAAGCAAUAUGGUAAUACGGAUCACCUUGUAUACUGAUAGGCAAGAUGACAGUUUCACUAUGAAAACACUAAUCAAAUCCUCUCAGACAUCAACUAGUGCAUUAUGGGUUAUGGGCUGGGCAUUCUUCUCUUCUCCUAAUCAGAAGCUAGGUUUCCAUGUCAAUAUUCUCAAAUCUGCAAAAAGAAAAUAUGUGCAUUUUCCCACCAGAUGUGUGUCCACCAAACAGAUUUUUUUUUUUUUUGCGUAUAAAAAUCAGUGUGUGAUGACGUAGUGCACGCGAAAUGAAUUUUUUUUCACUUACGUUUUCAUAUACCGAAUAAAAAUAUAAUAAUAAAUAUAACAAUGUGUGCCAUUGCAUUUUCAACUAGUCACAAACUGUUGUGUUAAAUAGAAAAUGUGUGUCUCUGUGUGUCUCUGGUCUUGUUAUGUGUGCUCUAGCCAACAGCUCACAGACACAAUGUGGG
ensembl:lncRNA